UUUUGGGAGAGAAGUGAUUUCGGGCGAUGGCUACCUCGUUUAAUUCGAGAGAGCAGUCUGUGGUUGGAGUCGUGGUGGUGGUAGCUGCGUGCGUUCUGUAUGCUGGUGUCGCCUCCGCUGGACGGCCAGCGACGAGCGUUAGCAUGGACCUGCUCCAUGGAAGAGGCAGAAUCAGAAGAAAGCUUCUCGAGAACGGCCUCGGUUUGACUCCUCAAAUGGGGUAUGAGAUUGUACUACUCAUUUCUCUCUGGUUAACCUUCUUGUGAUGGAACUGAUUGAUCCAAUGGAUAGAACUAAUCAUAAUUCGAACAUGAAGAAAGAAGAUACGAACCUUUCUGCUCUUCGGCCCGGAUUAGUAUAGUCAUAACAUAAGUGGGAAAAUGUUCUCGUUUCCAUAACUUAUGCGAGACCCGCAUGAGACUUUUUCUCAGUUUUUCACUUAACUUUUAUGUCAAGUAGGAUUUCAUUUGCAACGAGAAGUAGAAACAGAAAAUUAGAGAGCUAAUAAUUAGAUUUGCACACUAAUUGAUCACUGGAAUUGCAGUUCAUUGGCUUCUCGUGAUGAUCAUGCAACAGAUGAUUAAGGGUCACCAAUGUCAGGGAGCAGUUGAGAGCUCUAAUAACCAAAAACAGAUCUUGCAAGCUGUUGUUUCAAUAUAGUUUGUUUCAAUAUGGUUUAUUUUAGCCGACACAUUACAUUUAAAUUCCUGGCUUUCAACUUUGGGACAUCAAAUGAGAAAAAAGGUUUCACGUGAUCCAUGACUCUUGCAUGCGUAAACCUUCCAUGCCCUUCAUUAAUUAGUUUUGUACGAUGCAUUUGGACUUUGGAGUGUACUAUAUUGUUAUUGUAUUGUUUAGAGAAUCCGAUCAUGGUGUGACGUCUUUUUCGCCAUUAUCUUGCAACAAGAAGAAAAAAUGCUAUUCCUUGCAUUAGCAAAUUGUUGUGUCCAACACAUUUAUAUGCUUCUAUGGAUUCCCAAGUGGCAUUUCACACCAGAUGAAAUGGGAUACUGAUUUUCUAGCUGAUGUUUGAUCUGAUCUGGACAAUUUGAUUCCGACAGAUGGAAUAGCUGGAACCACUUUCAGUGUAACAUCAACGAAAAUUUGAUAAAGGAAACAGGUAAAUUGAUUAACACGCACCAGUAGAAUCGAUCAAAAAAAUUGCAGUAUUUAAUCUGGCUCAGUUACUUAAUAACACUUUCUUUGAAUGUUGCAGCGGAUGCGAUGGUCUCAUCCGGACUUGCUGCACUAGGAUAUGAGUAUGUAAACUUAGGUGCGUUGACAUGUUUUUGCUCGUGUAGAAUCACAGACUGUAUAAAGCAUUGUCCGAAUAUUUAUUUUUUCUGCUUCUUUUCCCUCGUUUUCCUUUUAAAGAUGAUUGCUGGGGUGAGCUUAACAGAGUCUCUCAGGUACAUUCCUAAAUCUUGUCUCGCCACCGUAUGAUAAGAGUAUAAAAUUGGUUAAGAGUUAUCAAAAGGAGGGAAAUUUGAUAAUUGUGGCAGGGUAAUUUGGUUGCCAAUGCUUCAGCAUUUCCAUCUGGAAUUAAGGCAUUAGCUGAUUAUGUUCACAGCAAAGGCCUCAAGCUUGGGAUUUACUCUGAUGCUGGGUAUGGCCAUAACAUUAACUAAAGCAACUCUUUUUACGUUCAUUACAUUAGGCGAAAGAGAACAGGAAAAGAGAAAACCAUCGUUUGAUUACCAUAUAAAGUUCAAUCUGGUCUCUUUUUGUAGAUCUCAAACAUGCAGUGGAACAAUGCCUGGAUCGCUCGGUCAUGAAGAGCAAGAUGCGAAAACUUUUGCUUCCUGGGUAGAAUUCAGUAGCGUCUGAGGAAUUGGACCAUUAUUAAUCUGCAUCGUCCCACUCGCUCACGCUUUCGCUCAUUCUAAUGUUUUCUAUCUGGCAGGGGGUUGAUUACUUGAAGUAUGAUAAUUGUAACAAUCCCGGUACGAGUCCCAAGGAAAGGUACGCAGUUUUUUCUGAUUUUUUCACGCUUUGGCUGCCGAAUAUCCUCAUUUAGGACAUAACAUAAAAUACCAAAUUCAUUCAGCAGAAUUUUGAAAGGGGCUCUGCCAUUACUAAUCAAUGUUGAACUUUUCUUUUCCUAACUGAAACUACUUUGCUAAAGGUACCCAAUCAUGAGCAAAGCCCUGUUGAACUCUGGAAGGAAAAUCUUCUUCUCUCUCUGUGAAUGGUGAGUUGAGCCUUUUGCAGGAUUAAUUUUCUCAUCCAUCAUUUGCGCUUAUUGACAGAAGCAAGAGAGAACUUACUUUUUGCACCAAAACUUCAGGGGACAAGAAGACCCAGCAACUUGGGCUUCGUCCAUUGGGAAUAGCUGGAGAACAACCGACGAUAUUUUUGACAACUGGGACAGGUGACUGAAUAUGAACAUAAAAUCUGCUUCAUGUCCUAAUUGCUGCAUGUAAUCAAAAAAGAAAAAGGGAUCUAAUUUGCAAAUCUCCCUGCAUAUUGGAAUGGAACCAAUCUUGUGAUUAAGUUUCACUAUCCAGGAAUUAGUUUAUGUCGACAUAAACCAACGAAAUGAACGACUCUGCGAUCCUUUCAGCUCAUGUUCUUACGACUUCACUUCUGACGUGAUAAAUAAGUGACGGGAAUUUCCUCUUUGCAUCAGCAUGACAUCUCGGGCGGAUCUGAAUGAUAAAUGGGCAUCUUAUGCUGGACCUGGAGGAUGGAAUGGUAAUGAUCAUCAUUUUUUUUUAGUUCGAUAUUUUUAAAAAUCGAACAGAGAGAUUGGAAGAGAGGAACUUGCAAGAUGAACAAUCAACAAGUCAUUUUGGAAUUAAAUUGUGUUCAGAUCCUGACAUGCUUGAAGUUGGAAAUGGUGUAAUGACCACAGAAGAAUACCGUUCGCAUUUCAGCAUAUGGGCACUGGUCAAGGUAUGAACAAGACAUAUUUUGAAAUAAACACACCUAAGACACGUUUUUGCUGAGUUUUUUUUCUUUUUUUUGGGUCCUUCCGAACAGGCUCCGUUGUUGAUUGGUUGUGAUGUGCGAUCGAUGGACUACACGACCCUCAUGUUGCUGAGCAACAAGGAAGUUAUUGCUGUUAAUCAAGGUAUCGACAAAUUGUGUUACAAUGGAAUGCCCUGCGAUGAAUUUUUCCUCAGUGAAAGCAUUUUCACUCUUUUGUAGAUGGGCUUGGCGUUCAGGGGAAAAAGGUUAAGUCAGAUGGCAAUCUUGAGGUAAACUUUCUUAAGUAUGAUCAUCCUUCACUAGUACGUCAGUCAUGGUACAGCAAAAAGCAACAUUGCAUAUGCUCUGCAUCAAUUAUCAAUAUCAAAACAAUGCAUAGCCCAUUGCAGACAUUUGAAAGCAAAUGGAUUGUAAUAAUUUGCAAGUUGUCUAUCUUUAGGGGUGUAAGUGUAUCAAUGCUUCCUCGUUUGUUCAAGUUAACACGCAAAAAAACUUUAAACCUGUGGCUGGGAAACCAACAGAAAAUUGGUGAUAGAUCCCAUUCUUAUAUAAAUUUAAUUAAAUCAUUAGAAGUUACAGAGUUAAGUUGAUGGAAGAAACAAAAGUCUUGUAUCCAUCACAGCAAUGGAUUCAACAGCAAGGUUGAUUAUCAGGUUAACCAACCUAAUAUUCUGUCGGUCAGUUUAUUAACUUUUGUUCAUGACCUAAAAGGACAUUCCCAGCAUGCAAUUAUGCAUAUUAUGGCAAUCAACAAACGGUCAUGCAGAGUAAAUACCAGGGUGACUAAUAGAUCACGUGAAGUUAUCUUUCAAAAAAUGUUGUUCGUCCUAUCAUAUUUAGCAGAAUCUUAUAAAGUUCACAAUCAUGCAUCCAAAACAAUGUAGGUUUGGGCAGGUCCCCUCAGCACGAACAAGGUAGCAGUGGUUCUAUGGAACAGAGGUUCAUCGAGAGCUACAGUCACUGCCUCUUGGUCUGACAUUGGUCUCAAUUCUACAACAGUAGUCAAAGCAAGAGACUUGUGGAUGGUGAGACUUCAGAGCCAAACAUAAUUGUUUAUUUGAUGAAGAACUAAGCUCACAGAAAAUUACUCAAAUUUCGGUGCAGCAUUCCACCAAAAGGUCAAUCAAGGGACAAAUCUCAGCUGAUAUCGACUCCCACGCUUGUAAAAUGUAUGUUUUGAGUCCGCAAUAACACGGAGACAUCAGGAGAAAGGAAACAGGGUUGCAGCUGAGGUUGUGCAGAAUUAAAUCUGUGCUAAUUUGAUCCUGUUUCAUCAUUGAUGUAAGAAAUAAACCAGAGAAUCGUUAAUAAGAUAUGAUAACCAAUUUCACCAGUCUUCCUAUGGCUUUACAAAUGUAAAACCCGCAACCCACCCCCCCUGUUGUUAUUGAUCAAACAGUAAACAAGAAACAGAAAACCAGAAGCUAUAGUUUUUGAAUAAGGAAGAGAAGCACAGAGAAAACAGAACACGAACUUGCAUACAUCUAUUCUCUUAGGAAACUGUCAAGUACAGGACAACUUAAACAAAAACAAUAACUGCUUACAAACCACUCACACACGUGCAGCAUAUAACUGCACCUAAACGUGCUAAUUCACUUCCUAAAUAACAAAAAUACCAACGGCAUAAUAUAACCAACUUAGCAAGAAAAAUAAACCAUAAAAAGAAAACAGAACAGAGGAACAUCAGUCGAAAAACCAGAAGCACUAAGACAUUAUAAUCCAACACCUCCCCCCCGCCCCAAAAAAAAAAAAGCUAGUGAGUGGUGACUGACGGUUAGCGAGACAAUGAAGAAAAAAAAACAAGGAAGUGAAAAAGGAAUUCGAUGAUAUUAGCAGUCUUCAGAUCCAACCAAGACUCAAUCAGACAUCAUGAAUGGAGGUCCUCUUACAUCAAAUAUUUCACGGGUUGGCAAAACAACUGCAAGAACAGCGGUCAGUAGCCCUUGUUUCCUCGAAUCCUUGCUCUCGUGUCAACAUGGGCAAAAAGUUAAAUGAGGAGUUAGAGAGGUACAUUGCUUAUUCAGCUCCUCUCGUGGAAAUCAUAUCAUUGAUCGGCAUAAUGAAUUGUCAACAAGUCCCACACACGAAACUACCCCCGUGCGCAUGACAUCAAACGCCAGCUGUCGCAUGCAAACGAUAAAACGCACAGGAAGAAAGAGUCAGAGAAACCCCAUAAAUCGAACAAAAACAUAUUCCGCCAUUUACAAUCUCGAUCAAAUGCGUAAUGCGUUGGGAGUCAAUGUUUGCGAUGACAUCAGGCGCGAGCUGUCGGCCGAAAUGAUGGGACGCCCUAUCAAUUUCGGCUCACAAACGUGCAUUGCAACGGAGUCGAUGUUCGCGAUGUGUUGUCGUCCUUUACCAGCUAAUCUGUAGGGAAAGGCAUAGUCACCAAAGGCACGGGGCUCUCGUAGCAAAGAGGACGAUAUCGAGAUGAUCGUUCGAUUGACCCGUUACAGAAGUUAUGCGAAGCUUCUUCCAUCGCUAGAAAGAUGAUGAAGUUGCAGUCACUUUUAGGGAAGUUUCAUGGCGACCUGUUAAAGCUUAGUUAAUUGUCAAAAAGAUGGAACUGGGCAGCCAAAUAGCGAAAGCGGAUGGCCCCAUCUCGUGUUCUUUGCAAUCCUUUGAUUGGUUUACGUUCUCUAACGGGUGGCUGCAUCAUUGGACUAAGAAAAAGAUUUAAUCAGAUGAGAUCACAUGGUUCCCCGAUGAGCAAGGCUUGAUGCACCGACAAGGAAGUCGAACGCGGAGACGUAGACAAAACCUUGUGACCUAAUCUCUCAAAUCAUCUGGAAAAGGUAAGCAUCAGCUUCACGUCCACUUCAACUCCCUCACAAAACUAAGAAAGAUAAAGAAACGAAUAAGUUUAAUCAAUUCAGACGUCAUGACCACGGUUGUUCUUUGGUGCAUGUGAACGGAGGGAAAGAAAAGUUGUACAUGCACAGAUAUCCCACGUUCAAUCAUCCCAUUAAUUAAUUGGAAAUUACGACGAGAUGACAAAUGGCAGGCUCCUCGCAUUCAAUUUUUUUUCGGAUUUUUUUUUAGUUGUUGUUGGUUUUUAGUUGAAAGCUGAGCUGUUAUCUUGACCUUAUUCCAUCUUUUGAUCCAUAUAAAUACGACCACUUCCGCUUUCUGGCUCCUUCAGUAUCUGACUGCAUAUUUUUUCAGUUUGUUUUGGGAGAGAAGUGAUUUCAGGCAAUGGCUCCUUGGUUUAAUUCGAGAGACCAGUCCGCGGUUGGAGUCGUGGCGGUGAUAGCUGCGUGCGUUCUGUAUGCUGGUGUCGCCUCUGCUGGACGGCCAGCGACGAACGUUAGCAUGGACCUGCUCCUUGCAAGAGGCGGAAUCAGAAGAAAGCUUCUCAAGAACGGCCUCGGUUUGACUCCUCA
rnacentral:lncRNA from 1 species